AAACACCAGCAGAUAUGCUGAAAGCUACAGAAUUCAAACCUAUGCUGAGUAUGUGGAAAAGAAACAAAAUUCUACACAUGCAAAGCGGAAGUGGGUUGAAGAUGGCUGGAAAGAGGUUGAAACAAAAAGGCUGAAAACUCAGUAUACAACAUAUGCAUCCCAAGAAUCCUUCAAUAAUGCAGUACACAGACUAGCACCUGUACUGGGGAAGAGAAGUAUGAGCCCAAUACAGGAAGAGGCUGGAACAGAUGAACUCGAGGAAGGACAGAUUAUUGACAGCAGCAGUGACCAUCUAACUGAAGACUCUUCUGAAGCUGGGUUUGGAAAUGAUGUGGUAGAAUUUUGUACUAAAAAGCCUCAGAAAGCGAAGAAACUCAAAAAAGGACAGAAAGCAGGAAAGUCCUCAGUACAGCUGUUUGAAGUCCCAGACACAUGGUAACCGAAGGAUGUCAGGACAGUUGAUUUGACUUCUAAGAGGAAAAGCAACAAGGGAAAAUGAGAAGCCAUACUGCUAGAAGUGUGAAUGUCCAUGCAGACUAGAGAGUGCGCAAGUCCUGAAGCUGACCGCAUCAGUGUAGUUUUAACAAUCAUGUAUUAUUUGUAUCCAUUUUACUCCAUAAAAUGUGUCCAAUCUGAUAUUUGUUUUGAUCAUGUGCAUUUGAGCCUAUGUUGUGUUUGAAUAGCAAAACAAGACAUUGUGGUGGAUCACAUUAUUUAGUAGAUUGUUAGACACAAAACUCAAGAAAAAAUCAGUAUUUUUGUAGUAAUGAAAUAAUGUGUGAUCAAGUCUUACCUGUGCUUACCACAAGCAUCUUUUUAUGUGUGGUUUUAAAUGUUGUUUCUGUACUUAACGGUCUUACAGUCUGUUUGAAAACUGCAGGCACUUCUAUGGAACAGGUAACUUGACUGCUAUGAGAUGCAAUGAAUCUGUUACUUAAAAUAUUUGUAAAUCAUCUUGGGAUACACUGCAGCUUGCCUUUGAUGCAUUUUCUAUAUUGUCCUUCACUACAAGGUUUGCAGAGAAAUGUAUAUUUUUUGCCCCCAAGUUGUUCUGUCUAUAAAACAUUAGGCUUUAUAGUUUGCAGUCAUCACUGAUGUGCUCAUUUGCUGUCUGGUUAAGAUGGGGAUGUGUUAGUCAUUCAGCAGAGAGGCAAAACCAAGGUUUGUGUAUCCUUUUCUAGCCUGUGCAGAUUGUCAUAAAUGCUGUUUAGCAAUUUGCAUUUCUGAUAAGAAGUCUGUGUCCAUGCAAGGGACAGCUUGCAUAUUCAUCCCAUGGUUCUUUGUGUUUUGGGAGUAUAAAACUUUGUAUUUGUGUUUUUCUUAAUCCUUUGCAGAAAUCGUAGUCCUCUAUUUGAGUCAUUAUUCUACAGCUGCGUUACUGUUGCACAGGAUUGCUGUUACACUGAAGGAUUAAAUGUUUAUGCGCUCACAAAUUUUGUAACAAUAUAAAAAGAAAAGAACAAAGACUGUUAGUCAGGGCCAAAGCUGUAUGUUUUUCGAAGUUUUCUCUGUCCCAAAGCAUUCAACAGAAGAGCUGUAUCACUGUUUCAAAAGUUACUUGAAAGUGUGGUUUCUGCAGAGGUGCCUCUGCUGAUUUUUUUUUUUUUCCCAGAGGGGGAGUACAUUUACCAGAAACCUGCUUAGAAAGUUGCUUUUGACAUGAAGUAAAUGCCAUUAUGAACUUGCAGUUUGUGUGAAAUGUUUUCUUAUGUUUCUGGAAUUGUCAGACAGACCUACAGACUACAUUAGACUCUCAUUACUGAAAGACUAAUCUGUUUUAAGCAGAACUGUUCAGAAGCUUUGUUUAAUAUUUAAGUUUUUUUGAUAUCUUGUGAAAGUAUAGGAGCAAACAGAAAUGGUAUAUUACCAUACAAGGACAAAUUAAAAAAAAAAUAUUUCUUA